CCCAUCUAUCCAGGUGCCACAAAGUGCCCAGGCAGCAGGAAGCACAUAUAAAACCAUUGAUGCUCUUUUCCGUAGGAGAAAUAAGUGAACGGGCAAUCUUUUCAUCUCUGUAUAAAUUCAGAUGUGAUUAGCCAGGUCCAGAAGUUGGAUUCUUGAUGUGCACAUAAAUACGUUGAGAAGAUGGAACUAGAAUUAAGCUUCCGUCCAUCUGCAGGUCACGGCUAACGUCAUCAAGCAUCAACAUGAAGAAACAAGCAGCCAACAGAAUGCAGCAAAGCAGCUAGCGGCAGCAAGCAGCAAACAACAUCAGCAGCAUGCAGCCAGCAACAUGCAGAGGCGAUUUCUCACCUUGCUGUUAGUGCCGAGGUCGGGCGGAGCAGAGCAACGAGCUCCACACAGUGGCAAUGAUGAUCAGCGUCGAGGAAGAAUUAGGAGGGACCCAUGGCUUUGAAUGCCGAGGUCAGGCGGAGCAGAGCAACGAGCACCACACAGCGGCAAUGACGGUCAGCGUUGAGGAAUAAGUAGGAGGGACCCAUGGCGUGGUCCAGGGGAGACGUGGACAACGCGGAGCCCAUCACGGUCUGUCGAGUUGUUCGGUGAGGAGGA